GACGAACCGUCCAAACGUUAUUCGGAAUCACUGGGCGUAAAGCGCACGUAGGCGGAUUUGUAAGUCAGGGGUGAAAUCCCGGGGCUCAACCUCGGAACUGCCUUUGAUACUGCAAGUCUCGAGUUCGGGAGAGGUGAGUGGAAUUCCUAGUGUAGAGGUGAAAUUCGUAGAUAUUAGGAAGAACACCAGUGGCGAAGGCGGCUCACUGGCCCGAUACUGACGCUGAGGUGCGAAAGCGUGGGGAGCAAACAGG
rnacentral:rRNA from 1 species